CUGAAUCAAGAGCAGGUUUAAAGUCCCAGCCAAACCCGUUGGUCAGAUUAAAGAAGGAGACUGCUGGAGGAGCUGGGGAUAACGCUGGUUGAUCGGACUCCAUUCCCAUUACUCCCACUGUCCACAGAUCCUACCUCCAGCCUGGAGUAGCGUAUCAGUCCCGGGAAGGAUCUGAAGAGAUUAUUACAGGAGAGUGAAUACAUGGAUGAUGGUAACUGUGAGACAGAUCUGUGCUCGCUUAUAGAAUCCCUGACCUGCUAUAGUUCCAGGAGACUCCAAAGGCUCAAGCUAAAACUGCAGAAAUGAUGGAGGAAGAUGAGGAAACAAAGAAGCACAAAGUUCUUGUGGAGAAACCUCUGCACCCACAAGGAGACGUGGUCAGUGUGUAAAUUGAUUAAGAGCUUAGAUGUAGCAUUUUAAAAUGUAGAUGUUUUAUGGGUGAAGUGUCACAGCAUCCUCGUAUUAUGAAGUUAAGAAUAUUAAAAGCCGCUUUCAAUCUUUUGAAUGACCCCAGGAUUGAGCCUGCUCUGAAAAAUGCCACAUGCUGCUUAAAAAAAGUAAUUAAUAACAAACUAAUCAACCUUUCACU